GCUGUGGGCUUUGGUGUCAAAGUCUGUGAUACCGACAGCACAAAUGUCAAACAAAACUAUCAAAUGGUCGAACGCCAUUUUUAACGGUUUUGUUUGUGGUUUUUUUACCUUGUUAGUCAACAAAAUGCAUACAGCAGUGCAUUUACUUUGGUUUUAGUUUUUACAACUAAUAAAGUACUCUAUAAAUUCGUGAGAGGUAAACCAAUAGAAGUAAAUUAACGUAUAACAAAACUUGUCUCUGUAGAAAAUUGAACGUGGCCAUGGGACUUUAACACUGUUGUUUGUUCGGUACAAGGAUGUACCAACAAUAAAAGGCCCAUAUUUGGUUUCCCACAUCCCAUCAGUAGAUACAAGCCGUCAAGAACCUUGGAUAAUGUAGUUUGGAUUGCCAGUUGGCUAUCCAAGGUGACGGAGGACAACAGCAGCAAUUUGUUGCAAAAUGGGUGAUUAAUUUUGCUAAGAGAACUGGAAUUUCAACCUUUUGCUCAACGUGUGGACAGAUUCAACAUUUGAAAAUAAAUGUUCCAUCAGAUGCAACGACACAGAUCGUAUUUCUUAACCGUACAACAGUAAGCCUCAGUCAGUUAUAACAACAUAACAAUCCUCCAAUAAGUCGAGGCUUUCACGUCGGUGUUUCAAUUAAACUAAACAGCGUCGAAUGACCGAAGACCGCUUUGCAAGAGCUAAAACCG